AGACUGUCAAAUACUGGCCGAGGCCAAGGGAGACUCUGUCAUGUCUGAGGCCAUAGGCAUGUUUUCUUCUGGACUUCAGCGAGAGGCAGAGCCCCCAGCCCCAUGCAGUCACCUCAGCUCUGCCUGAGAAGAAGCGAGGGAAGCCCAUUCCUCCCCAUCAGUUGGCCUCUGGGGAGGCAAAGUCAACAUCCCCAAAGAACAUUCAAGUCUGAGCCUCAAGGAGCCUCUGCGACUCGGUGUCUAGAUCCAGGAAAUGGAGAAUGAGCCGUGACUUUGGAUGCUUCACUCUUGUCCAUCAGGCUCGGAAUUGGGUAGCCCGGCUCUGCAGGGACAGUCACGGAGCUGAAAAACUGCUGCCUAAUGAAGCUGUUUUCUUCUACCACCGGCUCACCCUCAAAUUAUUUCCUGAGCGAACUCAAGAACCUUCCUGGGCUAAGCCCCAAUUUUGGGGCUCGCCUGCCCCUGCAUCACAGCUUCCUCUUCUGUUCACAGCUGCAACCGCCUACUCAACCUUCUGCGGUUCCUCUCCCUGCCCCUCCACAGUGGCUGCUGAUGGGAGCUCUGGCUCCCUGCGUUUUCACUAUCUCCCAGUCAAAUGCAGAGUCCCUGUGCAAUUUAAAUGCUUCUCAGCUAAGAACAGAGAAGGGGAUAGCAUAAGGAUAUUCAAAAGAUUCAAGAAAUCUCAAAAGUGAUCACAAAACAUUUGUCUCUGACCAACCAGAAACAUCGACGGGUGAGAAGGGCAUUUCCUCUAGCUGAAUUCUUCAUGGGUCUUCAGGCUCUGUUUUCACUUUGGAUUUUCUGGAGUCUCCUGAAGGUUACCUGAAAUCUUGUUGGUCCUGAAUAUUGUAUGUGGAGUCCCAAGCUGCAAGAAGUCAGUGGGGCUGGACGGGAGCCAAAAUCAGAGACUCAAGCAGCACAGCUGGGCCCCAUUGAAAGUGAGACCAGCUGUCCCAGUUGGAAGCUGGGGUAUAGAGCUGGGGAUGGGUGGAGGCAGUGACAGGCUCCAUGUAUUGGUCAUUCAGACUCCCCAGUAGCCUCAGGACCCAACUCCCACAGGUCAGAGAAGACCUGGUGGAGGGCCUUAUGCAAACCUCAGUGGGUGAUGCAGGAGGGAGUUUUCUGAGCAGGAAUGCCAACAAAAAAGGCCUUCAAAGGAAGGCCCUGCUUGGGACAAUCCUGCCUCUUUAUGGUCUGGUUCACAGGUUCCCCUGGGUGGGGUAAUGGAAUCCAAGCUAAGGUGUCUGACUUCAAAAGUUUUCAGAAAUGCCACUUUUGUAAGCAUCAGGGAUUGGGUUUUCUGAGAUGCAAAACAUCUUUGUUAAGGGGUUAAAGCAUCCUUAAGCUGUUUAGGUUUCUGGGGAUACAUAGACUUAGGAAGUUAGAGCAGGUGAAGUUGAGGGGGAUGGGAACUAAGAAUUAGCUCAAAAUAGUCACCAAUGCAGAAACCCAGGCACUUGGGACCCUGACAGUGGGGAAGGCAGAGGAGUAACUGUGGGGACUUGGGCACCCUAUUAGCAGAAUGGGGUAACAGAGAAGGCAAGAAUUGCUUCCCAGGAGACUGGGCUGGGAACAGGAAGGGGACUAAAAUGCUGUCCCUGGCUGAAGAGUGUGGAGGUAUAGAGGAGCUGGUAGCAGGGCUCUGAAUCCAUACACGAGAGCAAGGACCAGUGGUUUCAGGGUGGGAUAGGGCUUUGAUGUCUUCAUGGACUUAGGGUAAUAUUCACCACCAUGGUGAAUUCCACAAAGGAGAAUUCACACAAAGGUCUCGGACCAGCCAGUUUCCAUGUGAAAAAGCCAUCUGGGAGCAAGGGAACAAACCCAGGAAUACAACUGUAUUGGGGGAAAUUCAGCCAGACAUAGGGCAAAAUUCACCCCCAAUAUUUCAUGUAGGUUCUUUUCUAUUUUCCGUAAGUGUCGGCCGGUCUGAGAAAUAAAGGGACAGAGCUCAAAAGAGAGAAA
ensembl:lncRNA novel transcript